rnacentral:rRNA from 1 species
GACGAACGCUGGCGGCGUGCUUAACACAUGCAAGUCGAGCGGUAAGGCCCUUUCGGGGGUACACGAGCGGCGAACGGGUGAGUAACGCGUGGGUGACCUGCCCUCAGCUCUGGGAUAAGCCUGGGAAACCGGGUCUAAUACUGGAUAUGACUCCAUGACGCAUGUUCGUGGGGUGGAAAGCCUUGUGCGGCUGAGGAUGGGCCCGCGGCCUAUCAGCUUGUUGGUGGGGUGAUGGCCUACCAAGGCGACGACGGGUAGCCGGCCUGAGGGGGCGACCGGCCACACUGGGACUGAGACACGGCCCAGACUCCUACGGGAGGCAGCAGUGGGGAAUCGUUGCGCAAUGGGCAAAGCCUGACGCAGCGACGCCGCGUGAGGGAUGACGGCC